ACAUUUGCCGCUCCUUUUGGGAAGUGUGGGUGUCUGCUGGUAGCUCUUGCUUUCCUGGUUUUGUGCCUUUUCAUGCUUUCUAGCUCCCGGUACCAUCAUUCUGAGUUUCAGAAAGGAAAUGCAUCACAGGCCAACUGAAGUCUUUGGAAGGCUGCAGUUACUCAAAUCAAUGGGCCAGCUGAACAUUCUUCAAUGAAUCACUGCGCGCAAGUCGAUUUUUUGGCUUUGGAAAGACGGGGACAUAUCUUCCAGCUGAAUUCUAUGGAGUAAAUUACAAACUGAAUAAAAUAAAAC